rnacentral:rRNA from 1 species
AAUACUGCAGUCGAACGCUGAANCACUCUGCUUGCAGAGUGUGGAUGAGUGGCGAACAGGUGAGUAACACGUGGGGAACCUGGCCAUAAGAGGGGGAUAACAUCCGGAAACGGGUGCUAAUACCGCAUAGGUGAUCAUAGCGCAUGCUUAGAUCAUUAAAGAUGGCUUCGGCUAUCGCUUAUGGAUGGCCCCGCGGCGUAUUAGCUAGUUGGUGAGGUAAUGGCUCACCAAGGCUGUGAUACGUAGCCGACCUGAGAGGGUGAUCGGCCACACUGGAACUGAGACACGGUCCAGACUCCUACGGGAGGCAGCAGUAGGGAAUCUUCCACAAUGGGCGAAAGCCUGAUGGAGCAAUACCGCGUGAGUGAAGAAGGUCUUCGGAUCGUAAAGCUCUGUUGUUAGAGAAGAACAAGAGGUGUAGUAACUGGCACCUCCUUGACGGUAUCUAACCAGAAAGUCACGGCUAACUACGUGCCAGCAGCCGCGGUAAUACGUAGGUGACAAGCGUUGUCCGGAUUUAUUGGGCGUAAAGCGAGCGCAGGCGGUCUUUUAAGUCUGAUGUGAAAGCCCACGGCUCAACCGUGGAGGGCCAUUGGAAACUGGAAGACUUGAAUGCAGAAGAGGAAAGUGGAAUUCCAUGUGUAGCGGUGAAAUGCGUAGAUAUAUGGAGGAACACCAGUGGCGAAGGCGACUUUCUGGUCUGUAAUUGACGCUGAGGCUCGAAAGCGUGGGGAGCGAACAGGAU